CCAAGGUGUUGUGGAGGAGAUGGGACUGGCCCUGGAACCAGUGUGAAGUAAUAGCAAUAUGAUACCAGAACAUGUAUGGAAACACAGCAACCAAGUUUCAUGAAAUAGAAGAAAAGAAGCAGAGACCUCACCCUCAGCAUCGACCUCGGCUCUUGCUGCCACCUUCUCCUCAACCUCUAAGCUCAAGUUCCAUCACCUGUCCCGCACCUUCUCCUCGGCCUCAACGCUCCAGUCCCAUCUCUCCCUUGCGAGCACCAUUUCCUCGACCUCCAAGUUCUAAUCUUGAGUGGAGAGUUCUGGAAGAGAUCAAAACCCUUGCACUGUUGCUGAACUGCUAAUUUUAACACUGCUGGAACAAAUCAAGCAUCAGCAGUCACAACUUACUGCAGUAGUCAACAGCCUAGCUGGGAGGAUGGAGAACAGUUUGUCCCAACCAGAGAUGCCAGAGACCUUACAUUUCCCACUGAGCAGUCUUGGAGAGGUGACUGAACUUGAACAUUGGCUUCAAGAUGGCACAAAUGCCAGGCUCGAACAGAACAUGGUAUGAAAUAUUUCAUAUUUAAUAGAUCUUAAUGGUAUGGUAACUAGAUGGACAGAUUAAGGGUGGUCCUUAUAGAGGCCAGUGAUUCCCAGGGGCGUAGCCAGAAUAAUAUUUCUGGGUAGGCCUAGAAAAAAUAUGGAUAGGCAUCUUUUCAGUUUUUUUUUCUUAUUUACUCUGCGAUGUGCACCCGGUGCAUCAUUUUUCAGAGAUAUUUUUGUUUUUGGGUAGGCCUUGGAACAAAGGGCUGGUGGCUACACCCCUGGUGGUUCCCAACCCUGGUCCUCCGGGACCCCUUGUCCUGCAUGUUUUAGAUGUUUCCCUGCU